CAGAGGGAUAUUGAAUAUAUCACGGGAAUCUAAAGAGUAAGAAAAGCCCGAAACAAAAGGGACGAAAAUGGAGAAGAAAUACGCCCCCUUUCGGUGAUUGGUAGAAGAUCAGCCCGAAUUGAACCGUUAAGAAAGCGACGAGAGGAAUCACUCAACCGACUAAGAAAAACAUCCAACGAAGCCAAGAAAAGCAUUUGUGAAGGACUAUGCCUACAGCACAUACACAUGAAUGGUGUAUAAAGCUUUAUAUGCAUAACGGAGAAAUUGGAGUUACACCAGCUGUGGAUAAAUGGACUUCUAUGCUUCCUGUUGGACGUUGGUCGAGAGAACGCUGGCGGGGAACGCUUGUUAGGUUGUGUGUCCGGACCGCCGGACCCCGGAGCCAGGUGCGCUGCGGUCGGUGCGUGCCCCUCCAUAAGAGCGCUCGCAUCAGCAGGGCAGGAGACGCAAC
ensembl:lncRNA